CCUGAGAGGGCAGCAGCAAGAACUGCAGCUGAUCUGCACUGCCCUUGAAGAAAUGGCCUAUGACAGCAGUCCUGCAAUCAGAAAUGCUGCCAUUGAAUCUUGUUUAGUUCUCCGAGCCAUACAGAGAGCUCCCUACUCCCCAUGGCGUCAGCUGCGAGAUCGAUUCCGCAGUGCAUGGAGGAAACGGCCUCGUCUGUGUGGCACUGCCUUGCUGUUCUGCUGGAGCUCUGCAGAGAGAUGAUCUGGGGCCAUUUAAGCCAGCAGGAAUUUUCUUUUUCCUCUUUAACAUUUCCGUGUUUGCAUUUUCAUUGUAGAGUAGGUAAAUAUAAAAUACGUUACAA